CCUACGGGAGGCAGCAGUGAGGAAUAUUGGUCAAUGGACGAGAGUCUGAACCAGCCAAGUAGCGUGAAGGAUGACUGCCCUAUGGGUUGUAAACUUCUUUUAGAUGGGAAUAAAAUGUGCCACGUGUGGGAGGUGGUAUGUACCAUAUGAAUAAGGAGCGGCUAACUCCGGGCCAGCAGCCGCGGUAAUACGGAGGAUCCGAGCGUUAUCCGGAUUUAUUGGGUUUAAAGGGAGCGUAGGGGGAUUGUUAAGUCAGUGGUGAAAGUUUGCGGCUCAACCGUAAAAUUGCAGUUGAAACUGGCAGUCUUGAUUCCCGUAGCGGUGGGCUGCAUUCGUGGUGUAGCGG
rnacentral:rRNA from 1 species